rnacentral:lncRNA from 1 species
GCCCAUUUGCCCUUAAUAUAAACCCCCUUUAUAAUUUUUUCCCCCAUUUGAACCUUAAACCUAAGAAGUCAAAGAUGCGAUGCCCCUUUCUACUGUUCAUCUUCCCCAACUCUCAACUCGCCCUCAACUCACCAUUAAUUCACCCGAGUUCAUUCAAAAUGGUCCCCCUCCACGUCAUUUGAUUCGUAAUGGUUUUUUGUCAGUGGGGAGUACGAAUUUUCUCUCCCAAAUAGCACGAUUUCGGAUUCAAAAGGACAAUUGUUGGACCAAUGGGAGCCGUGUAUAGAUGUAAAUCGAUCCACGCCUUCCAUUUGUCCCAAAAAUUAUUCAAAAAUUUGAAGAUUUCAGAUAUUUUGAGCAGAAGAUUCGAGAAUUUUCGAGGGUUAUAUAUAGGAGGUAAGUCUUCUUUUUCAAAGUUGGAGGAAAAUAUAAAGAAAAUAAAAGGAAAAAAUCAGAGAGAAAAGAUCGAAAGAAAAAAUCUUCAGUAGCUGGGUCAAAAUUUUCUAAGGAAAAACUCACUGGUUCGAGUUCUUUUGAGGUUCUGUUUUCUCAAGAAAACUCGAUUUUAAAAUUUCAAGUUGUGGUCGACUUUGUUUUGGAGCUCAAAUUUCUACAGUGUUUCAGUUAAGCUGUUUCUGGGUCUGUCGCUGCAUAUCCUGGGUUGCAUUGCUGCUUUUGAGGUGUUGAUUUCACUCUGUUGUGGUGCUGCUGUUAAGAAGCUUUAU